GGGUUGUGAGGUUAAGCGAAUAAGCGUACACGGUGGAUGCCUAGGCAAUCAGAGGCGAUGAAGGACGUGCUAAUCUGCGAUAAGCGUCGGUAAGGUGAUAUGAACCGUUAUACCCGACGAUUUCCGAAUGGGGAAACCCAAUAUCCAAUGGAUAUUAUCAUUAACUGAAUACAUAGGUUAAUGAAGCGAACCGGGAGAACUGAAACAUCUCAGUACCCCGAGGAAAAGAAAUCAACCGAGAUUCCCCUAGUAGCGGCGAGCGAACGGGGAACAGCCCAGAGUCUUAAUCAAUAGCAGCAUCAGGAGAACGGUCUGGAAAGUCCGGCAGUAAAGGGUGAUAGCCCCGUAUCCGAAGAUGCUGUUAUUGUGAACUCGACGAGUAGGGCGGGACACGUGUUAUCCUGUCUGAAUAUGGGGGGACCAUCCUCCAAGGCUAAAUACUCCUGAUUGACCGAUAGUGAACCAGUACCGUGAGGGAAAGGCGAAAAGAACCCCGGCGAGGGGAGUGAAAAAGAACCUGAAACCGUGUACGUACAAGCAGUAGGAGCCCCACCACUAAGCUAGUGGUGAACUCACAGCGAUUCUUUUGCAUGAUAAUGUGCGGUAGACGGAGCGAAUGCGACGUCCAACCAACAAAAUCAAGCAGAGGAGGCUUAGUGGUGGGGUGACUGCGUACCUUUUGUAUAAUGGGUCAGCGACUUAUAUUCUGUAGCAAGGUUAACCGUAUAGGGGAGCCGUAGGGAAACCGAGUCUUAACUGGGCGAAUGAGUUGCAGGGUAUAGACCCGAAACCCGGUGAUCUAUCCAUGGGCAGGUUGAAGGUUGGGUAACACUAACUGGAGGACCGAACCGACUAAUGUUGAAAAAUUAGCGGAUGACUUGUGGAUGGGGGUGAAAGGCCAAUCAAACCGGGAGAUAGCUGGUUCUCCCCGAAAGCUAUUUAGGUAGCGCCUCGUGAACUCAUCUUCGGGGGUAGAGCACUGUUUCGACUAGGGGGUCAUCCCGACUUACCAACUCGAUGCAAACUGCGAAUACCGAAGAAUGUUAUCACGGGAGACACACGGCGGGUGCUAACGUCCGUCGUGAAGAGGGAAACAACCCAGACCGCCAGCUAAGGUCCCAAAGUCAUGGUUAAGUGGGAAACGAAGUGGGAAGGCUCAGACAGCCAGGAUGUUGGCUUAGAAGCAGCCAUCAUUUAAAGAAAGCGUAAUAGCUCACUGGUCGAGUCGGCCCGCGCGGAAGAUGUAACGGGGCUAAACCAUGCACCGAAGCUGCGGCAGCAACACUAAGUGUUGUUGGGUAGGGGAGCGUUCUGUAAGCCUGCGAAGGUGUACUGUGAGGUAUGCUGGAGGUAUCAGAAGUGCGAAUGCUGACAUAAGUAACGAUAAUGCGGGUGAAAAACCCGCACGCCGGAAGACCAAGGGUUCCUGUCCAACGUUAAUCGGGGCAGGGUGAGUCGACCCCUAAGGCGAGGCUGAAAAGCGUAGUCGAUGGGAAACGGGUUAAUAUUCCCGUACUGGUGGUAACUGCGAUGGGGGAACGGAGAAGGCUAGGUUGUCCGGGCGACGGUCGUCCCGGUUCAAGCAUGUAGGCAGAGUGAUUAGGCAAAUCCGGUCACUUAAUGCUGAGGUGUGAUGACGAACCACUAAGGUGGUGAAGCAAUUGAUGCCCUGCUUCCAGGAAAAGCCUCUAAGCUUCAGGUUACCAACAAUCGUACCCCAAACCGACACAGGUGGUCAGGUAGAGAAUACUCAGGCGCUUGAGAGAACUCGGGUGAAGGAACUAGGCAAAAUGGUGCCGUAACUUCGGGAGAAGGCACGCUGGCGGUAAGUGAAGUCCCUUGCGGACGGAGCCGAAGCCAGUCGAAGAUACCAGCUGGCUGCAACUGUUUAUUAAAAACACAGCACUGUGCAAACACGAAAGUGGACGUAUACGGUGUGACGCCUGCCCGGUGCUGGAAGGUUAAUUGAUGGGGUUAUCCUUAGGGAGAAGCUCUUGAUCGAAGCCCCAGUAAACGGCGGCCGUAACUAUAACGGUCCUAAGGUAGCGAAAUUCCUUGUCGGGUAAGUUCCGACCUGCACGAAUGGCGUAAUGAUGGCCAGGCUGUCUCCACCCGAGACUCAGUGAAAUUGAACUCGCUGUGAAGAUGCAGUGUACCCGCGGCAAGACGGAAAGACCCCGUGAACCUUUACUAUAGCUUGACACUGAACAUUGAGCCUUGAUGUGUAGGAUAGGUGGGAGACUAUGAAGUGUGGACGCCAGUCUGCAUGGAGUCAACCUUGAAAUACCACCCUUUAACGUUUGAUGUUCUAACCUAGGUCCAUAAUCUGGAUCGGGGACCGUGUCUGGUGGGUAGUUUGACUGGGGCGGUCUCCUCCUAAAGAGUAACGGAGGAGCACGAAGGUUGGCUAAGCAUGGUCGGACAUCAUGCGGUUAGUGCAAAGGCAUAAGCCAGCUUGACUGUGAGAGUGACGGCUCGAGCAGGUACGAAAGUAGGUCUUAGUGAUCCGGUGGUUCUGAAUGGAAGGGCCAUCGCUCAACGGAUAAAAGGUACUCCGGGGAUAACAGGCUGAUACCGCCCAAGAGUUCAUAUCGACGGCGGUGUUUGGCACCUCGAUGUCGGCUCAUCACAUCCUGGGGCUGAAGUAGGUCCCAAGGGUAUGGCUGUUCGCCAUUUAAAGUGGUACGCGAGCUGGGUUUAGAACGUCGUGAGACAGUUCGGUCCCUAUCUGCCGUGGGCGUUGGAAGAUUGAGAGGGGUUGCUCCUAGUACGAGAGGACCGGAGUGAACGCACCACUGGUGUUCGGGUUGUCAUGCCAAUGGCAUUGCCCGGUAGCUAAGUGCGGAAGAGAUAACCGCUGAAAGCAUCUAAGCGGGAAACUUGCCUCGAGAUGAGUCUUCCCUGUCACCUAGAGUGACCUAAAGGAACGUUUAAGACUAAGACGUUGAUAGGCUGGGUGUGUAAGCGUAGCGAUACGUUGAGCUAACCAGUACUAAUGAACCGUGAGGCUUAACCUGACAACACCGAAGGUGUUU
rnacentral:rRNA from 1 species